ACAAAUAAUUUUGUUAACUGAAAGGAUUUCAGGGAAUGUACCUUCAUUGUAAACAAGUCUGUUUCUUUUCACCUCACUGUAGUUGCAGCUAUUUGACAAAAAUGAACGACUUUUUGCUAAAGUGGGUUACUUAGAGAGCAGACUAGGUCAUCUGGCCAGCUCCAACACAGAUCUGUCCUGCAGGCUAGUCCAGAGUGAAGAGGAGAGACUGAAGAUAUCUAAGGAGCUUGUGGAGGAGAAAAUUCAGACAAACAAGACGAGAGAGCAGUUUGAAGAAGAGACAUUUGAGCUAAAAAACAAGGUGAGGGUUUAUCUGAAGUGAUAAAUAAAAACAGUGGAUAAACUCAGGCCUUUAUCUGAUGAGUAUAACAGAUACUCAUUUCAACUGAGCAUACUUCUAAUGAGUGUGAUAUAUCUGUAUACAGCACUAAUCUUUACUUUUUUGUUUCACAAUAAAAGGAUUUGAGGACAAGAAAGAUUUAA